rnacentral:rRNA from 1 species
UACGGAAGGCAGCAGUGGGGAAUAUUGCACAAUGGGCGCAAGCCUGAUGCAGCCAUGCCGCGUGUAUGAAGAAGGCCUUCGGGUUGUAAAGUACUUUCAGUCGUGAGGAAGGUGUUAAGGUUAAUAACCUUAGCAAUUGACGUUAGCGACAGAAGAAGCACCGGCUAACUCCGUGCCGGCAGCCGCGGUAAUACGGAGGGUGCGAGCGUUAAUCGGAAUUACUGGGCGUAAAGGGCACGCAGGCGGUUAAUUAAGUUGGAUGUGAAAUCCCCGGGCUUAACCUGGGAAUGGCAUUCAAGACUGGUUAGCUAGAGUCUUGUAGAGGGGGUAGAAUUCCAUGUGUAGCGGUGAAAUGCGUAGAGAUGUGGAGGAAUACCGGUGGCGAAGGCGGCCCCUGGACAAAGACUGACGCUCAUGUGCGAAAGCGUGGGGAGCAAACAGGGAUUAGAUACC